UUAAAUUGAAGAGUUUGAUCAUGGCUCAGAUUGAACGCUGGCGGCAGGCCUAACACAUGCAAGUCGAACGGUAACAGGAAGAAGCUUGCUUCUUUGCUGACGAGUGGCGGACGGGUGAGUAAUGUCUGGGAAACUGCCUGAUGGAGGGGGAU
rnacentral:rRNA from 1 species